UACGGGGGGGGCAAGCGUUGUUCGGAAUUACUGGGCGUAAAGGGCGCGUAGGCGGCUCGCUAAGUCGAACGUGAAAUCCCCGGGCUCAACCCGGGAACUGCGUCCGAUACUGGAAGGCUUGAAUCCGGGAGAGGGAUGUGGAAUUCCAGGUGUAGCGGUGAAAUGCGUAGAUAUCUGGAGGAACACCGGUGGCGAAGGCGGCAUCCUGGACCGGUAUUGACGCUGAGGCGCGAAAGCUAGGGGAGCAAACGGG
rnacentral:rRNA from 1 species